rnacentral:rRNA from 2 species
GACCUCAAAUCAGGUAAGAAUACCCGCUGAACUUAAGCAUAUCAAUAAGCGGAGGAAAAGAAAAUAACAAUGAUUCCCUCAGUAACGGCGAGCGAAGAGGGAUAAGCUCAAAUUUUAAAUCUGCUGGGUUUCACCUAACAGAGUUGUAUUUUGAAGAAACGUUUUCUGCGUCCAGGUUAGCCUAAGUCCUUUGGGAUAAGGUAUCAUGGAGGGUGAGAAUCCCGUUCAUGGUUAAUCUUAAGGAUGCUCUACGAUACGUUUUCCAAGAGUCGAGUUGUUUGGGAUUGCAGCUCAAAAUGGGAGGUAAAUUUCUCCUAAGGCUAAAUAUUGGCGAGAGACCGAUAGCGAACAAGUACCGUGAGGGAAAGAUGAAAAGAACUUUGAAAAGAGAGUUAAACAGUACGUGAAAUUGUUGAAAGGGAAACGAUUGAAGUCAGUCAUACCAACGGGAAAUCAACCUUUUGAGCUUUGUAUCGUGGGUUCGAAGAGUUUAAACGCCUUCGGGUUCGCGAGAUUGGGAUCUUCUGGUGUACUUUCUCGUACGGUUAGUCAACAUCGGUUUUGAAUGUCAUAAAAUGACUGGAGGAAUGUAGCUUCGAUCUCGUAUCGAAGUGUUAUAGCCUUUGGUAGAUGUGAUGUUUGAGACCGAGGAUUGCAACGGAUACCCUUUAAGGGCUAUUCGUCUGAUCUCUGAUACGUUACCUUGAUGUUGAAAGCUUGCUUAUGAUGUUAGGGUAUUACGGUCAAAAGGUUAGAACGGAUUAAAUUCGUUAAGGAUGUUGACGUAAUGACUUUAAACGACCCGUCUUGAAACACGGACCAAGGAGUCUAACAUAUAUGCGAGUGUUUGGGUGGUUAAACCCUUGCGCGUAAUGAAAGUGAUUUUGGUGAGAUCCGGGAAAAAUUUUUCGGAGCAUCAUCGACCGAUCAG